AUACUAGCCUUAAGUGUGUGUUAACAUUUGCAUUUGCAGCUGUGUGUUGGUGUGCUUGUGUGUGUAUUGGUGUUGUCUAUAUGAAACUGAUACCAAAUCACUGCUAUGUUAAGUGUAGAAAGGUUACCAAGUAGAACCCCCCCACUGCAGUCAUUGGCAUUUUAGUAAAUGGCAUCCUCUCCAUAGAGAGCUUCUCUCUCCCAGACUGCACUUCACUGGGCCACACCUUGGGCCCAUCUAGCCUGGGGUUGGCUGCUGUGUGGGUUAAAGCAUUGAAGCACCAGUGAGGUGUUUUGGUCUAAAACUAGCGAGCUAACUACCACAGAGGCAUGGGGAAACCUUGUGAACACCAACAGCCUAGAUGGCGCUGAUAAAAAGCACUGGCAGAGUUGGCAACAGGGUGCUGUGGAAGUUCUGAAAGCAUUUGGCCGGGCUGGUCCUUCCCGGACCGUAAACCCACACCGUGCAUACCCUGGGCUGCUAGUGGGACCGACAGGUGUGUUUAUCUGUCUUCCACACUACCGUGUGUGUGUGUGUGUGUGUUUAUCUGUCCUCCACAUUACCGUGUGUGUGUGUGUGUUUAUCUGUCUUCCACACUACCGUGUGUGUGUGUGUGUGUGUGUGUAUGUGUUUAUCUGUCCUCCACAUUACCGUGUGUGUGUUUAUCUGUCCUCCACAUUACCGUGUGUGUGUGUGUUUUAUCUGUCCUCCACAUUACCGUGUGUGUUUAUCUGUCCUCCACACUACGAUGUGUGUGUGUGUUUAUCUGUCCUCCACACUACCGUGUGUGUGUGUGUGUGUGUGUGUGUGUUCUCCACACCACCAUGUACCAUCCAUAUCAUCUAGAAGAGAACUGGUUCUCUGGAAAAACACACAUCAGUAAGUUUGUUGCAUGCUGUUGCUUUAGAACACAGACACCGCCAGUAAUGACACCGCAUUGGCUACUUGCUUUUGUUCUUUAUUGAGUCACAGUGGCCUUCACGUGAAGAAAGAAACAUUCAGCGGAUGCUCGUCUCGUCAUGGCAACCAGUCCUUGCUCCUUAGAGAAGGAGCCUUGACCUUGAUAGUCAGCAACAGUAUUUCACACGCAAAGUGGCAACACUUUAAAAAAUAGGUAUUUCCCAUGAAUAUAAAACCAUAUACUUGUAAUAGUAUUUUUUUUUAUUAAUCUCUCCAUUUGUAUAAAAACACGUUAUGAAAAGCUUAUCAAUAUAGAAAAUCCUCUUGUAUAUUUACAGUCAAGAUAAAAUAAGAAUAUGUGUGGAUGUUCAUAGCAUUUGCCAUAAACACUUGUAUAUAGGCUAUUACACACACACACACACACACACACACACACAUAAACUGCCUUGUGCCCUUUCAUUCCUGUGUCACUCAUUUAUGGAUGUAGGUCCUUACGGUGCUGUUUAGAUUAAUCUCACUUCAACCAUUUUGCAUUUUCUUAUCGCCACCUUUAAGUCCACUUGUGAUGCUAAGUUCUCUGUUAUCUGAAACCACGGUAACGGAGGAUAGUCCUGAAAGUCCUGUACCUUUUUCUGUGUUGCGUAAUCCAAAGCAUGCCUAUAAAUACAGUGUGAUGGAAGGGGUGUGUGAUUAGGAUGUAGGAAGCCUGGCUAACGUCAUGUGCACCUUCUGAGAGCCUUGUGACCCGGCGUCAGUACAUUCACUCGUCUAUAGGCUCUGCGCUCCUGGAAAGACCACUUUCAGCGUUCAAGUUUCUAUAACUCCAUUUUGCAUUUGCAUUGACAAAAUAAGUGCACAGAGACAUACAUGUAGACACACACACACACACAACACACAGCGUGGAAGAAAUAAACCAGUGCCAUGGUGACA
rnacentral:lncRNA from 1 species